rnacentral:tRNA from 1 species
GCUGGGUUAGCUCAGUUGGUUAGAGUGUGGUGCUAAUAACACCAAGUUCACAGGUUCAAUCCCUGCUUACUGCA